UUGACGUAGAGCGGCAUGCAAGAGAUUUCAUGGAAGCAGCAAAGAAGCUUCAGCUGUAUUUCAUCAGCCUACAACAUGAGGACCAGCCAACAAAAGAGGAAAUGCUGCGAAAGGAGAUCUCCAUCAUGGAGGAUGAGCUGAAGACCAAAUCUGAGCUGAUUAAGAAGCAUGAAAACCGCAUCGAAGCAUGGAGAGAAGAGUUAAAAGAGCAGCUUGAUAGGCACACUGCAGAAUUGCAGAGGGUGUAGACUUGCAGCAAUUUCGUUAAGUUUCAAUUAGAUACAUUUGGGAUUGCUGCUGAGGGUUAUUGCUAUAAUGGAACAUUUGCUGAAGGUUUAUGAGAGCUUUGCAUAUCAUUGCCUCCUAAGAAAGAAUGGGAGCUCUGCUUGGGAGCAAAGGGAAGUGAUUUAUUAGUUUAUAAAUUUAAUGUUUGCGGGAUUCAAAUUCAGAAUAUUAGCAAGAAUUUUCAAUAUCUGUAUCAACUAAACAAAUUGUCUCCCUCAAAAAUGAUUUUAUUAAGAAAGAGGGAACUACAGUUCCCUUUUUAGGCAAUGGAAUGUAUGUAAAUGGCUUUUUAGGCAAUAUUUGCCUCUAAUGUAAUUUGUAGGUUUCAAAUUUGAGCCAAAGAAAGAACUUUUUAUUAAUUUAGCAUUAAUGCCAUGUACAUUAGUAAUCUUACCC